rnacentral:lncRNA from 1 species
AUGGGUUCCGCACUGAUGGCUUGGGUUUGCAUCGGAUUAACACUAGCCCAGCUCAACAACGCAGAGAGCCACCGGGACGCACACGGACAUUUGGCCGGUCAGGACGAGCUUUUCCAGCAGCUGUUUUUUGCGGCACCAGAAGAUUCGGACCGAAGUUUCCGAGCACCGGUCUGGAAUUUCCUUCAUGUUGAAGACCCGCUGCUGACCUCUAGCACCCAUCUUUAUCAUCAUGAAAGGAAGAUGUCAGAUAUCAACCAGCCACAGUAUCGCUGCAGUAAUGGAACACUUUUCCUGCGCUUUUCACUCAUCCGAUACUCAAAUCUGCGUCUUGAAGAUGGGGUCCAGUUGUUGUCACUGCCUGACAGGUGUCACAGCUCCAUUAGUAUUUAUAGGUGGUGGUUGUUGGUGAAGCUUCCUACUGGCUGCUACACAGCAAUACGGCCUGGAGAUGGAACUGGAUACCACCCAGUCAAAUUGCAUUAUUUCGACCAUCUGCUGCAGGAAGCCAUGACAGGCAUGGCCGUCUGUGAGAAUCCAGUAGUUUUGCCACAAGCGGCGCCACCACUGGUGACUUGUAGAACUACACAUGUCACUGUGAAGCUGCCUCAUGGGACAAAACUGAGGAAGGUAAAAGAGCUUGAUUUUUUCACUCAUGAAGGAUUCUCAGUGAUACAACGGAAGACCCCCAAUGCUUUGUUUGUGCAGAUAUCCAAGUUAUCAGACACGGAUUCUGGAUUUGAACUAGUUUAUGUUGACUCUACUGGGAAACUGUGCACAAUGCUGGCUGUCUGUGACCAAAAAAAAGUGAGGCAUCGUGUUGGGAGAGCUCUGGAGGAACCGGAUUUAUUCGAUCUGUGGGACUUCGAGGAAGUUCCCGUUGAACCAUUUGAUCCAGACACAACACAGGCAACAGACAGCUCUGAAACUGAUACAUUGGAGGAAAGUGAUGAUGCAGGAUUUUAUUUGUUGUGGGGAUUUGAAGAAAUUCCUGAAGAUCCAUACACUGGAAUAGACACAGAGAUUACAGAACCUACAGCUCCCACGACUAUUACUACUGCUGCUCCUACCACGACAGCAGCCCCCGACACGACGACCGUGACCACGCCAGUCCCCGUGACCACCGCAGCCCCUAGUACAACGAUUACCACAGCUGCCCCUGCAACGACGACCACAGCAGCUCCCGCCACCACAAUGGUCCCAACCGCAGCCCCAUCCACCUCAACCAGUGUUGUGUCUACCACAACAACCAGCGCCCCCUCCUCCACCACAGCGACCAGCGUGGCUUCAACCACAACAACCAGCGCCCCCUCCUCCACCACAGCGACCAGCGUGGCUUCAACCACAACAACCAGCGCCCCCUCCUCCACCACAGCGACCAGCGUGGCUUCAACCACAACAACCAGCGCCCCCUCCUCCACCACAGCGACCAGCGUGGCUUCAACCACAACAACCAGCGCCCCCUCCUCCACCACAGCGACCAGCGUGGCUUCCUCAACAACGCCUAGCGCCCCCUCCUCCACCACAUUGACCAGCGCCCCCUCCUCCACAACAACCAGCAUGGCUUUCACCACAACGACCAGCCCCCCCCUCCACCACGUCUAA